UCUUCCUGUUUACCUGUGUUGUUAUGUAUUUAUUUAUGGGAUUUAUAUUUAUGCCCUUCCUAAACUACUCUCACAUCAUCAUGAGAUGUGAUUUUAAAUCAGACUCUUGCUUUUCCAGUGUGUUGGUGUAUCCGUGCCUUGCUGUGAUGGGAGAUCUUGGUUCAUGUGAUGCCAAGUGUUUUUGGAUUCUGUUGCUUAGGUUCUGGUACCUGCCUCUCACCAUCUGGUUAUCUGAGCACUUAGCUGGUCUUGCUGUCUAUGACAGUGACUUCAACUUUCUGUAAUGUAUCUGUCAGCACUUUUGGGAUACCAGCACCCUCCCAGAGGGACUUGGUUACUGAGAAAUGUAGCACUGGAUCAGCUCUGUUUGCAAAUCGAAACCAGAAUAUACUGUCCCAGCUGAUUUUGGGUUCCUGUGUCCUGAGGGCUCCAGACAGCUUCCUCUGGGCAGAAGUGGAUGUUUCUUCUGUGUCUCAGGUGUGUCAGCAUUCCUUAGAAACCAGUUCUUUCCAUGCAGGAUCUGGGCACAGAGAGUUGUGGAUCACAUUCUUCAUCAGGUGCUUAUUGAAGCCAUGGGUAACAAAACUUAUAUUGUCAUCAAAUUAUGGAUGUAUUUUUACUUAUUCUACUGUCUCAUCUGCUUUGGCAUCAGCGCUGAAUAGAUUUAAGACAUCUGCGCAUGUGUCUUCAGGUGCUGAAGAAAAACACCCUUCUCUGUACAUUGCCUAUUGGGCUGACACUUAAACAUUGCUCUGGGAUGUUGCAAACAGACCAAGCUAGAAAGGUACAAAAUGACUUUAUGUGCCUUAGUUGGAAUGUUGAUCUUAUUCUCUUAGACAAUCAACUUGUCUCUCUCUGCAUCCUAUUACACGCUGAGGACAGAAUAUUUGGAGGAUGUUGUACCUGCCCCCGAAACACUGCAACUCACUGAGUUGGAAAAUUGAGAAACUAUAAAGAAGAGAUUCUACCCUGCACUGUGGAUUCCCAGUGUUUUAUUUUGGAUGCCUUAUUCACCCAAGAGCAACAAGUUACGAAGGCAUCGAGAAAGCAUGGACAACAGCUGAGUCUUAUCACUGUGUGGCAGGGAUGGAUUUCUGGAAGACAUGCAAGAAGAGGCUACUGAUGAGAGUGCACCCCAGUUGCAACAAGUGGCUGCAUUUCUAAGGAAAAGUGACCCUUGCUCAUCCAGCAGUCAUCAGUACUAAUGGAACCCAGGAUUAUUUCCAAGAAGUGCAAAUAUGGGAUGAAAUUUUUCUUUUGAAGAAUUCGAUUGGUUGGCUGAGGAGAGAAUUCAAUGGAUUUCCCAUUGGGAUGAAAUUUUUCAAAGAAGAAAAAGUAGAUGAAAGUUACCAUGUUGUGACCUGUAAUUUCACAUAGGGAGAGAUGAACAUGGAGUACUUGUCUGAGGACACUUUGGAUUACACUAAUUAGAAGGAACCCUAGGCUGCAGUUUGUGAGUAUGUAUCAAAAAGUCACCAAAAGAAGUGAGUUUAAAUGAUGAUAUAAAUGGACAAAUAACUAAUUUAUCUGAGAUGUAAGUAGAGUAAAAUAUUUUGCAGUAACUAAAUAUAACAUGUUUGAACAAAAGGACAAUACAAAUCAAAUCAAUCAAAUGACGUUUAUGCUUUUCAAACCGUUGACAGAUAGGGAUGUUGCUCAAAAUAGGAUGUAUGCCCAGUGUGUUACAGUUCCUGAGUUGAAAUCCCAUGGUUUCAGUAAAAAAAUAAUUUGACUCAUCAGUGAGUUAGCAGGUUAUAUAAAAUGAACUCUAGUAAAAACAGAGUUCCAUCCUGGAGAGCAUCAGAGCAGUAGUAGAGGAUUGACUUGCACAAUUUUGCUCUGACCAAUAGAAAUGUAUCCUCUGAAGACUAGCUUAAUUAAAUGUUAGUACCUAAAGAUGAAUGAAUAUGGAAUCUAUAUUAGUUUUUGAAUUACUAAUUUUUGAAAUUUUUUUUCAUUCAAUAUAUUCUAAUCCUUCCUUACUUUGUCCUCCCAUAUCCUUUCUACCUCCACAAUGAUCUAAUUCCUCAUGUUCUCAUCCUACCCCUUAGAAAACAUGAAAAGGAUUAAUGAAAUAUGAGGAAAAAACACAAGAAGCACAUAGACACACAUUUAUUCAUGCUCACAGAGAAAAGCCCAGCAAAGUAUUAAAUUGGGGGGCAUAAUAUGUCAGAAAAUACCAGUAUGGUUAAAAUAUAGUAUACUAUGAAUCAAAAAAUUCAAAAUUACCAUUGAUUUAUAUAAGUAAGAAUGAAGCCCCUGUUUGAGUGUGGAUUCUAUUCUUAUGAAACCAUACUGGAAACAGUAGUUUUUUAUAUUGGAAAAUGUGUUAAAUGGAUAGAGCUCCUUAGUGAGGUAGAUCAUAUACAUAUCCAGCUAUUAGUGGCUGGAACCCAAAUAAUUUUGACCUGCAAAACCUGUGUAGAACCUGCACAUGGUUUCCUGAUUUAUAUGAGUCCAUAUGUAUAUCAGUCCUGCUAUAUCUGGACAUCAUUGCUGACUUGCUUUCAUUCCUCCCAGCACCACAGUGCCUUAUAAUAUUUCUACUAUGUCUUCUACAAAUCUUUCCUGAGCCAUGAAGGAAGAGAUAGGACAGCAGUGUCUCACUUAUGAGAGUGUGAUCCAAAGUCUUUCACUCUGUAUAUUGUGCAGACAUGGUUCUCUUUACUUAGCCCAAUCUAUUGUAUAUGCUAGCUUUUGUGAUGACAGUAGAGCAAUAUACUGAUCUAUGGGUAUAACAGAAUGUUAUUAGGAGUCAUUUUGUAGCUACAUUUCUAUAGCAGACAAUGAUACCUGCUUUAAGCCUUAAACUCCAGUAUUUAGUCAUGAGAACAAUGGUAGAAAUGUGUUCUGUCUCACUGUGUAUGUCUCAAAUCCAGUCAGAUAGUGGUUGCUUACUCCCUUGAAAGCACCACUAUUGCAGCAGCUUAUCAAAUAGGCAGCUGACUGCGGUAGAUCAAAUAGUAUAGAGGUGGGUGGGCAUUUAAGUUUCUGCUCAGUAACCAUGCAGAAUUCAUUUCAGUAUGAGCAACACAAUUCAAAAGGUAAAGCUUUCAGUUAGGCACCUGCUUGUCUUCUCUACGUUCAAAAGAAAUCAAAUUGUUGUCUUCAACAAUAGACCCAUCAUCAGUUGUAUGUAUCAAUCAAUAGUUUAAGCAGUAGUUUGAGAUGAUUGGAAUAUUACAAUGAGGUCACAUUGGCCAAAAAAUAUAGUAGAUAUACACAAUAUGUGAGUUGGAGAUUUCAUUUGGUGGGAAGAGAUGUCUAGUUUGGUUAUUCUCUCCCAUUAUUUUUUUCACAUCCUUUAUUUCUUAUUUAUGUUAUAUAUUAAGAACUUAUCUGACUCCUACUUAUAGCUGUCCUCCCUAGUAUUCCACUCUAUCAUCUUCAUUCAACUAUGUCCAUUUAAUUGCUGCAUUACAAUGUCAUCACCAAAUAUCCCCCAUAAUUGUUUAUAUUAUGUAUCUAUCCUCAUAAACCCCUUCCCUCUAUCCUAAUUCUUCUAUUCCAUCGACAAGGCUUAAAAUAUCAAAAUAUAAACUGAUACAUACUGCAUUUGUCUUUGAGAUUCUGGAUAACUCAC
rnacentral:sRNA from 1 species